GCCCUGUGGUGUAACCGGAAACAUACGGGAUUUCUACUCUUGUGAAGCGGGUUCGAAUCCUGUCAGGGCUA
rnacentral:tRNA from 1 species